CCUCCCUCCCUCCCUCCAUCCUUCUCUCUCUCCUUCCCUCCCUCCCUCCUUCCUUCCAUACCACCUUGCGAAAGCGUGUUGAUACCACCACUGCCAGCUCCUCUACUUCCAGCUCACUGGGAGUUUUCUCAAUAGCAUGACGUAUUAAGAAACACAGUGCUGUCAUAUGAGGGUGGGUAACACCCCGAAUCCACAGAGGAAAGCCCCAAAGAAAGGGGCUUACCUCCCAUCCCAAAGCCUUACAGUGGAAAUGCACCAGUACGUUCCAUGUCAGAUCAUCUCUUCCCCAGGAACACCCAUCAAGCCCUACCUGUUCAGCUGUGUUCGUAACAGUGGCACCUAAAUAAACACUCCAGAUCUGAGGAUGAAGAGAAUAUUUGCUACUCCCAUAUAAGUAAUUAACGGAUUGAUCUAUUACCCUGUGAUCUGCACAAGGCUGGCCCUUACUACACAUUGUAAUGCCAGUUUCUAUGGAAAACCAGGGAAAUAGAGCUUAUAAAGCAAGAAUUUAUGAAGAGAGAGAAACAUCAAGUUGUUGUCCUGGGCUCCAUAUGUGAAUUAAAUAUAUAUAUAUAUAUGUAUGUAUGUAUGUAUGUAUAUUUAUACAUACAGUAAGAUACACUUGCAGGACAAGUAUAUCUUACCAUUUCCUGGAGAAGCAAUUGUUUCUGCAGUUGUGUCUGUGCUGCUCUCUUCUGGCUUUCCGAGACACAUAUGAAAGGAAAGAGAAGUGAUGGAAUUUCCUCAGACAUCAGUACCUCAUGACACCAAAAUGUUAAUUUGCUCAGCUCACAUUGAUUCUACUUCGAAAAUUUACAGAUUUCCUCUGCUUUCAAACAUCUUUGAUCAGCAGCCAUAUGGUUAAUGUUACUUUUAAGCAAUUGCUGGGCAUCCAGAUUUGCUCUCUUCAAGAAAUAAGCGCUGUUCACAAUGCUCAAAUCAAUUUCUGCAGCAGCUAUUGAAUAAGAUUGUGUGUGUGUGUGAUUUUUUUUAACCAUAAGAUAAAUUAUAGCAUGAAAUAUCAAUAUUUAAAACAAACAGACAUCAUCCCAUAAUAAAUAUAAUUUAAAAUACA
rnacentral:lncRNA from 1 species